CAAAGGGAUUACCGGUGGCGGAUGGGCAUGCGGCGCAUUAGCUAGUCGGCGGGGUAACGGCCCACCGAGGCGACGAUGCGUAGGGGUUCUGAGAGGAAGGUCCCCCACACUGGUACUGAGACACGGACCAGACUCCUACGGGAGGCAGCAGUGAGGAAUAUUGGUCAAUGGGCGCGAGCCUGAACCAGCCAAGUCGCGUGAGGGAUGACGGUCCUACGGAUUGUAAACCUCUUUUGCCGGGGAGCAAGCGUGCGUUCGUGAACGCGCGUCGAGAGUACCCGGAGAAAAAGCAUCGGCUAACUCCGUGCCAGCAGCCGCGGUAAUACGGAGGAUGCGAGCGUUAUCCGGAUUUAUUGGGUUUAAAGGGUGCGUAGGCGGGAUGCCAAGUCAGCGGUAAAAAUGCGGUGCUCAACGCCGUCGAGCCGUUGAAACUGGCGUUCUUGAGUGGGCGAGAAGUAUGCGGAAUGCGUGGUGUAGCGGUGAAAUGCAUAGAUAUCACGCAGAACUCCGAUUGCGAAGGCAGCAUACCGGCGCCCUACUGACGCUGAGGCACGAAAGCGUGGGUAUCGAACAGGAUUAGAUACCCUGGUAGUCCACGCAGUAAACGAUGAAUGCUAACUGUCCGG
rnacentral:rRNA from 1 species